rnacentral:rRNA from 1 species
AACGAACGCUGGCGGCAUGCCUAACACAUGCAAGUCGAACGAGACCUUCGGGUCUAGUGGCGCACGGGUGCGUAACGCGUGGGAACCUGCCCUUAGGUUCGGAAUAACUCCCCGAAAGGGGUGCUAAUACCGGAUAAUGUCUUCGGACCAAAGAUUUAUCGCCUUUGGAUGGGCCCGCGUUGGAGUAGCUAGUUGGUAGGGUAAAAGCCUACCAAGGCGACGAUCCAUAGCUGGUCUGAGAGGAUGAUCAGCCACACUGGGACUGAGACACGGCCCAGACUCCUACGGGAGGCAGAAGUGGGGAAUAUUGGACAAUGGGCGAAAGCCUGAUCCAGCAAUGCCGCGUGAGUGAUGAAGGCUUUAGGGUUGUAAAGCUCUUUUAACCGGGAUGAUAAUGACAGUACCGGGAGAAUAAGCUCCGGCUAACUCCGUG